rnacentral:rRNA from 1 species
UACGGAGGGUGCGAGCGUUGUCCGGAAUCACUGGGCGUAAAGGGCGCGUAGGUGGCCUGUGGAAGUCUGCGGUGAAAGCCCGGCGCUCAACGCCGGGUCGGCCGUGGAUACUCUCGGGCUUGAGCUUACUAGAGGCAGAUGGAAUUCCGGGUGUAGCGGUGGAAUGCGUAGAGAUCCGGAAGAACACCGGUGGCGAAGGCGGUCUGCUGGGGUAAUGCUGACACUGAUGCG